UACAGGGUGACAGCCCCGUACACAAAAAUGCACAUGCUGUGAGCUCGAUGAGUAGGGCGGGACACGUGGUAUCCUGUCUGAAUAUGGGGGGACCAUCCUCCAAGGCUAAAUACUCCUGACUGACCGAUAGUGAACCAGUACCGUGAGGGAAAGGCGAAAAGAACCCCGGCGAGGGGAGUGAAAAAGAACCUGAAACCGUGUACGUACAAGCAGUGGGAGCACAGAGCAAUCUGUGUGACUGCGUACCUUUUGUAUAAUGGGUCAGCGACUUAUAUUCUGUAGCAAGGUUAACCGAAUAGGGGAGCCGAAGGGAAACCGAGUCUUAACUGGGCGUUAAGUUGCAGGGUAUAGACCCGAAACCCGGUGAUCUAGCCAUGGGCAGGUUGAAGGUUGGGUAACACUAACUGGAGGACCGAACCGACUAAUGUUGAAAAAUUAGCGGAUGACUUGUGGCUGGGGGUGAAAGGCCAAUCAAACCGGGAGAUAGCUGGUUCUCCCCGAAAGCUAUUUAGGUAGCGCCUCGUGAAUUCAUCUCCGGGGGUAGAGCACUGUUUCGGCAAGGGGGUCAUCCCGACUUACCAACCCGAUGCAAACUGCGAAUACCGGAGAAUGUUAUCACGGGAGACACACGGCGGGUGCUAACGUCCGUCGUGAAGAGGGAAACAACCCAGACCGCCAGCUAAGGUCCCAAAGUCAUGGUUAAGUGGGAAACGAUGUGGGAAGGCCCAGACAGCCAGGAUGUUGGCUUAGAAGCAGCCAUCAUUUAAAGAAAGCGUAAUAGCUCACUGGUCGAGUCGGCCUGCGCGGAAGAUGUAACGGGGCUAAACCAUGCAC
rnacentral:rRNA from 1 species